rnacentral:rRNA from 1 species
CACGGGGGGAGCAAGCGUUGUUCGGAAUCACUGGGCGUAAAGGGCGUGUAGGCGGUCAGGUAAGUGGGAUGUGAAAUGCCCCGGCUCACCCGGGGACCUGCAUCUCAUACUGCUUGGCUUGAGUACGGGAGAGGAUGAGGGAAUUCCUGGUGUAGCGGUGAAAUGCGUAGAUAUCAGGAGGAACACCGGUGGCGAAGGCGGGUCUCUGGGAAGUAACUGACGCUGAGAAGCGAAAGCGUGGGUAGCGAACAGG